rnacentral:rRNA from 1 species
AGCGGCGGACGGCUGAGUAACGCGUGGGAACAUACCCCAAAGUGAGGGAUAACCGCCCGAAAGGGUGGCUAAUACCGCAUAUGAUCUUCGGAUUAAAGGAUUUAUCCGCUUUGGGAAUGGCCUGUGUACGAUUAGAUAGUUGGUGAGGUAAAGGCUCACCAAGUCUACGAUCGUUAGCUGGUCUGAGAGGAUGACCAGCCAGACUGGAACUGAGACACGGUCCAGACUCCUACGGGAGGCAGCAGUGAGGAAUCUUCCACAAUGGACGAAAGUCUGAUGGAGCAACGCCGCGUGCAGGAUGAAGGCCUUCGGGUCGUAAACUGCUUUUAUAAGUGAAGAAUAUGACGGUAACUUAUGAAUAAGCACCGGCUAACUACGUGCCAGCAGCCGCGGUCAUACGUAGGGUGCAAGCAUUAUCCGGAGUGACUGGGCGUAAAGAGUUGCGUAGGUGGUUUGUUAAGUGAAUAGUGAAAGCUGGCGGCUCAACCGUACA